GGUUAAAAAGCUCGUAGUUGGAUUUCUGCUUGGGGUGGCCGAUGUGCCUUCUGGGUUACAGCCGGUUCAGCCUGAGCAUCUUCUUGGGAAUCGUGUCUGCACUUGAUUGUGUGGCACGGGUUCCAGGACUUUUACUUUGAGGAAAUUAGAGUGUUUCAAGCAGGCGUCCGCCUUGAAUACGUUAGCAUGGAAUAAUGCGACAGGACCUCGGUCCAUUUUGUUGGUUUCUUGGGUUGAGGUAAUGAUUAACAGGGAUGGUUGGGGGCAUUCGUAUUUAACUGUCAGAGGUGAAAUUCUUGGAUUUGUUAAAGACGAACUACUGCGAAAGCAUUUGCCAAGGAUGUUUUCAUUGAUCAAGAACCGAAAGUUAGGGGAUCGAAGA
rnacentral:rRNA from 1 species